GCCCCUUUCGUCUAGUGGUCAGGACACCGCUUUUUCGCAGCGGAGAGGUGAGUUCGAGUCUCAUAAGGGGUA
rnacentral:tRNA from 1 species